CUUUCAUGGAGAGUUUGAUCCUGGCUCAGGACGAACGCUGGCGGCGUGCCUAAUACAUGCAAGUCGAGCGAAUCAAUAGGAGCU
rnacentral:rRNA from 1 species